AUUUCCGUUUUGACAAAGAAGUGACGGAGAGGACGACGAUUUCGACACUUCUGUUCUCUGCAGCUAUUAGGGUUCUAAACUUGUAAUUCAAAGUUUAGAUUUUAGGAAAUUGCAGCAAUCAGCAAAACAUGGCACCGAGAAAGAAGACAUCAUCUAUGAUUUGGCAGAUGCGCAAUGGCCUCUCAUUGGUGGUGUUCCAAGCCACCUCGAUGGCUAGACUGUACAUUGCAAGAUAGUAAGUCAUGUUUAUCUCUUAUUAAUGCCUUGGAGCCAAAGUUGAGCCACACACGAGAUGAAGUCAGCUUCAGGAGGGAGGAUUUCUCAAUCAAUGUCGUCGAAGUUUUGGUUUGACGGAAGAGGAGAAUUGAAGUUGUGGUUCACUGUCAAGGAUGUCAUGGAAUGCUUCAAAGAUCCUCAAGGCUCAUCAGUUCUUCUUGUUUGCACUAACUAUGGCAGAAGUCUGUGGAAAUAAGGUGGGUUUUCACUUGUUUGAUGUGGUGGUUAACGACAAUUCUUUGAGAUCUGCUUGGCUGACACGAAGCUCGUCUUCAAAGCUGAUUAGUGAGCCACCACCCUCUGGAUCCUUCGCGU